GAGGGGUGCCCUUCGGGGAGCCGUGAGACAGGUGCUGCAUGGCUGUCGUCAGCUCGUGUCGUGAGAAGUUGGGUUAAGUCCCGCAACGAGCGCAACCCCUAUGGAUAGUUGCCAGCAAGUAAUGUUGGGCACUCUAUUCAGACUGCCCGGGUUAACCGGGAGGAAGGUGGGGACGACGUCAAGUCAUCAUGGCCCUUACGCCUAGGGCUACACACGUACUACAAUGGCGCGCACAAAGGGGAGCGGGACCGCGAGGUGGAGCCAAUCCCAAAAAACGCGUCCCAGUCCGGAUCGCAGUCUGCAACUCGACUGCAUGAAGUUGGAAUCGCUAGUAAUUCGAGAUCAGCAUGCUCGGGUGAAUGCGUUCCCGGGCCUU
rnacentral:rRNA from 1 species